GUGUAGCUCAAGAGCAGAGCAUGUGCUUAGCAAGUACGAGGCUGGGUUCGAACCCCAGCAC
rnacentral:tRNA from 1 species